rnacentral:rRNA from 1 species
UACGAAGGGGGCUAGCGUUGCUCGGAAUCACUGGGCGUAAAGCGCACGUAGGCGGAUUGCUAAGUCAGGGGUGAAAUCCUGGAGCUCGACUCCAGAACUGCCUUUGAUACUGGCGAUCUUGAGUCCGGGAGAGGUGAGUGGAACUGCGAGUGUAGAGGUGAAAUUCGUAGAUAUUCGGAGGAACACCAGUGGCGAAGGCGGCUCACUGGUCCGGUACUGACGCUGAGGUGCGAAAGCGUGGGGAGCAAACAGG